UCAAAUUCAAAAGAAACCUUAAAGAAAUUACAAAAGAAACAAUAAAAAAUCUUAAAAGAGUUGAAUUAGAAUCCACAAUAAACCUUAAAAGAAUCCUUAAGAAGACCUAAAAAAUAUUAGAAUAAUCACAAAUAUAUCUUAAAUAAAUUUCAAUCAAGUUCUAAUUUAAUUCUAAUUGAAAUCCUAAUAGACUUCAAUUAAAUCUUAGACAAAUCUUAAACCCUAAACCAAAUUAUAAAUCAAACCUUAGAUAAAUUUUAAAGCCUAAAUCAAAUCUUAAAUCAAAUCCUAGAAAAAUCCUAAAUUCGAAACCAAAUCCUAGAUCAAAUCUUAGAUCCUAAAUCAAAUCCUAAAUCAAAUCUUAAACAAAUCCUAAAUCAAAUCCAAAACAAAUCCUAAAUCCUAAAUCAAACCAUAGAUCAAAUCUUAGAUCCUAAACCAAACCCUAAAUCAAAUCCUAAAUCAAACCGUAGAUCCUAAACCAAAUCCUAAAUCAAAUCCUAGACAAAUCUUUAAUCCUAUACCAAAUCUUAGACAAAUCUUAAAUCCUAAAUUGAAUCCUAAACCAAAUCCUAACCCUACUCAAUCUAACCCUACUCAAUCUAACCCUAGCACAGUUUAUAACCUUAAUAUCUAUCAAUU
rnacentral:lncRNA from 1 species